CUCUCCUCCUUCUCCAUUCUUCGAGAGAUGCCCCUAGUCCAAAUCUUUUUCUUCUUCUGCUUAUCGCCGACUCCCUCAUCCGAUGGUCAUCUCUCCCUUACGCUCACCAUCUCUCUCUUCUGUCAUUUAGCACUCUACGAUCGAUAGGAGUCCUAUUGUCGCACACCCUAUCAACCCUUAUGCUUAAACGUGCCCUCUCUCUUGGAAUUUUCUGAACGCGAGCGAUCUCUCUCUUGCGCACAGGCUAGUUCCUACCUUCCUUGAGCACACCAAUAGCGAUGCAACUCACCAAUACUGACGACCCUCCUCAAUGCUCCACCCCGCAAAUGUUGCCAUUGCCCGCCCUAUCUUCACCGCUACUCAGCCAGUUGUUGAACACGGGCUUUGUCGCACCGUUGCAGUUUGCAAGCGUGCAACUACAUUUGAUUUGAGUUUCAUCUUUUCAUCAUUAUACCGUUCAAGACUCUCGUUUCCACCUCUUGGAGUUUUGAUUUGGAGUAUUGACAGAUUUUAACUGAUGUCCAGCCGCGACGUGACUCGAAAUUGGGUGUUCGCAAAAAUUUGGGAUUCAAAAGUGGAUGGUUGUUAGAGGUUUGUCUGUUGGGCUAGGCUACUUUGCUAAGUUCUUGAUUUAGAGAACUUGGAAGCAUUGAUCAACACAGGUAAGGUUGUUUUAAAAUGAGUUUGGGUAUGUUCCUAAGUUAUUUACUCGUUAGUUUGAUAUUGAGAUUGUUAAUGGAUCUAAAUCUCCAAGGUAUGGAUAUUGGGUGUAAAAGCGUAUUGAAACGAAAGACCCAAUGAGUUUGACUUAAGUUUGCAAAUUCAUUUUACUAAGGAUUUAAAUUUAAGUUUUAAAGGUUGGAAUGUGGAUUUUUAGUCUAGUCUAAGAAGAUUCGAGAAUGCAAGGAAUUUAGAAAUGUAAAAUAACAUGAAUGCUCCAAAUGAAGUGUUUUGGAGAUUGUUGUGUCAUCUUGCUAAGUGAAGAAAACUGAGAGAUCUUAAUCUUUGUUUCAGGCCAAAUUGAAAUGGGGAAAGCAUAUAAUCUCGAGGGAUCGAGUCAUUGAUAGUGAAUGGUUUAUUUUCAAAUAUUUUCGUUAUAAAUUUAUAAAUGUUAUUAUAGUACGCUAUAAAUGUGACGAUUACUCGUAUGAUUGUUUUAUGAUCUGUGUUAGAAAUGUUUUCAAAUAUGAUUUUCAAUUUUCCAUGAACUCUUGUAUUUCGAAUUCAUGGUUGAAUCCAAACUUACCAAGCAAGUUUUAGAUGACAAUUGGUUUCUAAAACAUUUGUUGAUUUAUAAUUAGACUUGAAGGAGUUCUAAAAGUAUGUAUUGAUGACUAAGGAUAAAAAAUAAUUUGAAAAUGUGUUUCUAACCGUGUUUGGUUUUAAACUUUAAAUAUGUGAUAUUUAUGAAAUAAUGUUGGUGAUUUCCCUAAAGGCUACAUGAGUGUGUUUUCGUAGCACCAUCUAUGAUGGUUAGGGGAUUCCGGGGCUGAAAGAGGUCGUGACUAGAGAUCGAGAACCAGAGCCUAGGUAGGGAUAUGGAUGGAGGAUUGUGGUAUGGCUUCAGGUCUAGCUCAACCCAUGGUGGGUGGCUCUAUGUGCACAUAUAAGCGGAUAUGGAGGUUGUUACUGUGGUAGGUGCUAAGUAUGCGUGAGUUCCAUUUGGCCGCAUGUUUUCUUGUGGAUAUGGAUCACGGGUGAGUUGUUUUGGGUCGUGUAUUUAGUAUGCUAUCAUGGUUGGAUUGGAUGGAGAUUGUUACCGUGGUAGGUUCCAAGUAUGCGUGAGCUUUAUUUGGCCGCGUUUUUCUUUGUGGAUAUGGAUCAUGUGUGAGCUAUUCUGAGCCGUGUAUUUAGUAUGCUAUCAUUGUUGGAUUGGAUGGAGGUUGUUAUCGUGGCGAGUACUAAAUAUGCGUGAGCUAGGUUUGGUUGCAUGAUUCCUUGAUCAUGUGCGAGUUAUUCUUGGCCAUAUAUUUAGGUGCUUUGCCAUGGUUAGAUUGGGUACAUGUUUGUUGGCUUGACUUGUGAUGUAUGCUAUUAUGUGAUGAUAACGUUUUAAUUAUUAUUUCAUUAUCGAGGCAUAGCUACACUUUUUUUAAAACAUGUUUUACGAGUUUUUACUUCUAAAAACUUGCUACUCACAUAGUUCUAGCUCACGUUUUCAAUGUUUUCUCCCCCCAGGCAGCGUUUCAAAAACCAAGCCAUCGUUGAGCUCCCCGUCAUUGAUUGUAGAUUUUCAUUCUUUUUAUAUGUUUUUACUUCGAUUUUGUAUUAUAUAAUGGGGUGGUUAGAAGU